rnacentral:pre_miRNA from 7 species
UUUUUGUGGGUGCUGUCACAACCCACAAUCAUGAUGAAAGAACCUAGUGGGGAAACUCCCACUCUGUUCCCUAUUUGGCAUGCACCCAAGAAUCACAAACAAACAG